GGUGCUAGAGCCACUUUUGAAAGAUCUUGCACAAUUGGAGGAGGAAGGACUUUUUAUUCAUGUGCUGGGAAAGAUACUGAAGGGCACUGUUUUUUGUGUGGCGGCAGAUAAUCUUGGAGCCCACUCUAUUGGUGGAUUUGUAGAAAGUUUUAGUGCAACGCAUAUCUGCAGGUUCUGUUUGGCUGAGCUGUCUGAGAUCCAGGUAAAAGAAGUGAGAACUGGGGCAUUCCAACCCAGAACAAAGCAGCAACAUUCUGAACAAAUACAGACAGUUUUAGAAAAUCCCACCUUAAUACAUUGCUAUAGUGUGAAAAAGCAGUGUGCUUUGACUGAAAAACGUAAACAUUUUGACGUGCUGUCUGGCUAUUCACCAGAUGUGCUGCAUUACUUUUUUGAGGGAAUCCUGCCUCUAGGACUGGCAUUGGCCUUAAAGGUUUUAAUCAAGAAUAAAUAUUUUACUCUGUUGGAACUCAACAAUCUCAACACACAGUUCCCCUAUAAGUGGAGUGAUAAAACUGACUGCCCACAAUCAAUUCCUCUUGACUUGAUGAAUCCAAGGAAAAUAAGUAUUAGAGGAAAUGCUCAUGAAAACUGGUGCCUAAUGCGUCUGCUUCCAUUCAUUAUAGAAACUAAAAUACCUGUAGAUGAACCAUCAUGGGAAAUUCUUAUGGACCUCAAACAUAUCGUUGAACUUGUGGUUUCGCCAAUUCACAUAGAAGAAUCAAUUUGGUACCUUGACAGCAAGAUAUCCGAGCACAGGCAUAGAUUCUUAGAGGUUUAUCCUCAGGAUAGUCUUAUCCCGAAACAUCAUUUCAUUGAACACUACCCGCAGCUGAUAAAGGCAUUUGGACCCCUUAUGGCUUUGUGGACUAUGCGCUUUGAAGCUAAACACAGCUUUUUUAAGCGGAUUGUUCGACAGACCAAAAGCUUUUGAAACAUUUUGCUGUCUCUUGCAGUUAAGCAUCAACUAAUGCUUGCGUACCAUCUGCAUGGCACCAAUCUUGUCAAGCCUGCCCUAUCUGCCACAAAGCUGUCCACUGUUGCUUUGGAAGUGUUAAAGGAUGACAUAAAGGAAGCGUUACAAUUUUAUUUUCCAGAUGAGGCUUUUGUUCAGAUGGCAAACACACUUUCCAGCUUGGUACCAACUACUCGGUUGGAAUGAUCCUAACCUACGGAUCCACUGGAGGUCUACCAGACUUUGUUGAAAUACUUCUAAUGAUCGUUGUUCAUGGUGAACUUGCUUUUAUUGCCAAGUGUCAGAAUGCUUGGUAUAAUGAGCAUCUUAGGGGAUUUGAGCUGGAAUCCACACAGAAGCUUAAGGUCAUUGAGCAAAAGGAAUUGGCAGACAUCUACCCACUAACAGCAUACGCUGUUGGCCAAAAGCACAUGGUAACCCUGAAGCACCAUAUUUGCCUGCAAUAUUAGGUAAAAAUCUUUUAAAAUGUAAUAGUUUUAAAUGUGGUGUAUUUAUACAUGGGUUUAAAAACAAUGCAUUGCUCAUAGAGCUCAUGUCAAAUUUAGUAUUUGGUAUAGAAUAGAAAUGCUUGUUUUUGCACAUUUAUUAUUAUGAGAUCUAGUAAGCAGCACUUGAUAUCGAUUUAAUGGGAUACCCAUGUUUGACAUCAUACCCAUUUGAUAACUUUUAUGCAUUUUUUCUUGACAGGAUCACUUUCACUACAACAGAACAGAAAUGUCUGCCAGGCUACGGGUCCUAUUGGAGGGCCCUGAUAUCCGUAAGCUAACAUUGCCUUCUGGAAUCCCUGCUACUGUGGCUGAGCUUGGCACAAUUGUGCAAGAGACAUUUCAGCUUCAAAAAUAAUUUGUUCUACAGUACAUGGACAGUGAAUAUGGAGAUCAGUUAUUUUCUUUGCUUGAUACUAAAGACCUAAAGGAUAAAGACACCAUCAAAAUGGUUGACCUUGACCACCCACCUCUUAUUACUUGAAAUGUACAAGGACUCAAUAAGAGCUCCACAGAGACAUCGGAUGAGAGGGGCUCCCUUGGAUCAUGUGAUACUGUGAUAUUGUCCUCUCCAGAAAGUACCUCUUCCCAACACUCCAGUCCGUGGCCAUCUGAGUUUGAAGUUCCUCGCUUUGCUUAUGAUACAGAGCUCAUUCUUAAGGCAGCUAAUGAAGCACACAUGAAGGAUGGAACACUACUUAACAAUCUGUCUGUGAAAUCAGCCAUCCUCGAAAAACUGUAUGAAAGGAUCUUCCAGUUUACAGCCUAUCCGUCAAGUCUACAAAUUUGGCAGGUUGCAGAAGCUUUGGUAAAAAAGUACCCAUGUCUUAAAGAGCCUGGGUCCUUCUCAGGCCUGUACGGAUGGCAAACCAGCCUGAAGUGCAAGAUGGGCAAUUACAGAUCGAAACUGAGAGGAAUUGGUUGCCCAGAACUGGAAGUGAACUCUCUUAAGAGAAAAUCACCAGAGGACAGGCCCGUUGCCAAGAACAUAAAAAAACAAAGAAGGCUGAGGUAAAUUACCUCCCACCCCACCCUGCUGGAGAAACAGAAGAGACCCUGGAGAGGGAGCGAGUGGAGCUACUGGGAGAAGUACAAAUACGUGACAACCACAACAUUGUGAGUGCCAAAAUGGCAAAGACCUUCUGAUAUCGAAGACAAGAUGUCAUUCAGGCCCUUCCUGUGAAGGACUUCAAAGAAAGAUGGCCAGCCCUGUUUGAGCCCACUCAGAUUAAGGAAGAGUUCAGAAGAAUUACAACUGUUGCUCUUGAGUCCACCUUUAUGCAGAAGCUGGACGAAUUUACACCAAAACUAUUGGACUUGUUUAAGUUCAAAGGAGGUGCUGUAAAGGCGGACAUGCAGAAAGUUCUGUACGGGGUAUGCACAGUAACACCUUCACAAUAGUAUGUAGGUUAUACUGUGUAUUUAGUUGCCGGUAUUAAAUGCAAAUGUUUGUAUAACAUCAUAUUACAGUACGACACCAUCCAGGAAAGAAGAGACAGUGUGAUCCGUGGCCUGAUCAUAUACCUCGGUGAGAGGGUUGAAGACCUUAUCACAGAAUACAAGGAUGUUGACGACACCAGGAUCUGAGAGGACCUCAUUCAGCAUGUGAUGAAGGUGUUCACUGUGAAGGAUCUGCACCAGAAUAUAGAGCAUGGGAUCUGCAUCGAAGGAGCAGAGGUCCUGGCUGGUAUUCACAGUCUUACACAGCUUAUGGGCCUCAUCUAUGGCUUAAAUCUAAGGUACCCCAAAGAACUGAAAUAUACCUUUGAGGUGUUCCAAAAAUUAUUCUUGGAACUUGAUGAUCUCAGGACCUCCCCACGGGUCCAAGCUCUAAAGAUGAAGUACUUGUUUUCAGAGAUAUCUAAAGAUAUCUAUGAGAUCUCUCAAAGGGCCACUCACAAACUGUGGUCUAAACGCUACUCAGUAAGAUGAAAAACUAGUUGCUAGGUGUUAAAGGAGUUACAGUUUACAUGCUGCUUUUUGUCAGGUGAAAUCAUAAGAGACACUGUUUAAAAAACAGCUUUGUUUUAAAACUUACUCCAUAUGCACUAGUGGAUAUCUGAGAUUAUUUGAUGAGGUGCAAGCUGUCUGGAUUUAACUUUACCUAAGGAGGCAAGGUGGAGUUAUACCCAGAAUGCUUAUACCUAUCAAAAUAAUAUGUCCAUAUGGGCUUCACUAGUGCGUAUGAAGUCAGGUUUGGCAAAUAGUUUGUAACAAUAUGUGCAAUGUAUGUUUUGAAAACCCAUGUUUUGAUUAAUAUAUAUGUAUUUGAGCUAAAGUUCAUAUUGUGCAUUGUGUAAAGUCUAUUAAGACAAAUGGUCAAUUUACGUUUCUGUUAAAAUAUCACUUUGUUGUUAAGGGACACACGGACCACCAGAGAAUUCUUGCCAAGCUGUACAAGAUGUGAGGUCAAAGUGAUAAUCCCAAACUAUCACUUAAAAUUUGGAUGUAACUUUACCUAAGCAGGCAGGGUAUAGUUAUACCUAGAAUGCUUAAAGACUACAAAAUAAUGGACUAGGGUUUAAGGGGCAA